rnacentral:rRNA from 1 species
GAGAUCGGGAUAACACCUGGAAACAGAUGCUAAUACCGGAUAACAACAGAUGAUGCCUAUCAACUGUUUAAAAGAUGGUUCUGCUAUCACUCUUGGAUGGACCUGCGGUGCAUUAGCUAGUUGGUAGGGUAACGGCCUACCAAGGCGAUGAUGCAUAGCCGAGUUGAGAGACUGAUCGGCCACAUUGGGACUGAGACACGGCCCAAACUCCUACGGGAGGCAGCAGUUA